rnacentral:rRNA from 1 species
GACGAACGCUGGCGGCGUGCUUAACACAUGCAAGUCGAACGGAAAGGCCCUGCUUUUGUGGGAUGCGCGAGUGGCGAAAGGGUGAGUAACACGUGAGUAACCUGCCCUUGACUUUGGGAUAACUUCAGUAAACUGGGGCGAAUACCGGAUAGGAGCUCCUGCUGCAUGGUGGGGGUUGGAAAGUUGCGGCGGUUGGGGAUGGACGCGCGGCUCAUCAGCUUGUUGGUGGGGUAGUGGGUUAACAAGGCAUUGACGGGUAGCCGGCUUGAGACGGUGACCGGCCACAUUGGGACUGAGAUACGGCCCAGACGCCUACGGGAGGCAGCAGUGGGGAAUAUUGCACAAUGGGCGGAAGCAUGAUGCAGCAACGCCGCGUGCGGGAUGACGGCCUUCGGGUUGGAACCCGCUUUCGCCUGGGACGAAGCGUGAGUGACGGUAAUGGGUAAAGAAGCACCGGCUAACUACGUG